GACGAACGCUGGCGGCGUGCCUAAUACAUGCAAGUCGAGCGGAUGAGAAAGGAGCUUGCUCCUUUCGAUUCAGCGGCGGACGGGUGAGUAACACGUGGGCAACCUGCCUGUAAGACUGGGAUAACUCCGGGAAACCGGGGCUAAUACCGGAUAACUCAUGAGACUGCAUAGUCUGAUGAUAAAAGAUGGUUUUGCUAUCACUUACAGAUGGGCCCGCGGCGCAUUAGCUAGUUGGUGAGGUAACGGCUCACCAAGGCGACGAUGCGUAGCCGACCUGAGAGGGUGAUCGGCCACACUGGGACUGAGACACGGCCCAGACUCCUACGGGAGGCAGCAGUAGGGAAUCUUCCGCAAUGGACGAAAGUCUGACGGAGCACGCCGCGUGAGCGAUGAAAGCCUUCGGGUCGUAAAAGCUCUGUUUGUAAGGGAGAACAAGUAUGAGUUAACUGCUCCUAACCGUGACGGGUACUAACGAGAAAGCCACGGCUUACUUACGUGGC
rnacentral:rRNA from 1 species